ACGUAGGUCACAAGCGUUGUCCGGAAUUACUGGGUGUAAAGGGAGCGCAGGCGGGAAGACAAGUUGGAAGUGAAAUCCAUGUGCUCAACCCAUGAACUGCUUUCAAAACUGUUUUUCUUGAGUAGUGCAGAGGUAGGCGGAAUUCCCGGUGUAGCGGUGGAAUGCGUAGAUAUCGGGAGGAACACCAGUGGCGAAGGCGGCCUACUGGGCACCAACUGACGCUGAGGCUCGAAAGUGUGGGUAGCAAACAG
rnacentral:rRNA from 1 species